UUCCUGGUCCGACUUAAACCU
rnacentral:piRNA from 1 species